AGCUCCAAUAGCGUAUAUUAAAGUUGUUGCGGUAAAAAAGCUCGUAGUUGGAUUUCUGUUGAGGACAACCGGUCCAUACCACGUAUGCGCAUCUGGUUUGGCCUCGGCAUCUUCUCGAAAGACGUCUGCGCUUCAUUGCGUGGGCGGAUCUCGGGACUUUUACUUUGAGGAAAUUAGAGUGUUCACGGCAGGCUAUCGCCAGAAUACAUUAGCAUGGAAUAAUACUAUAGGAUCUUGAUUCUAUUUUGUUGGUUUCUAGAAUUGAGAUAAUGAUUAAUAGGGACAAUUGGGGGCAUUCGUAUCAACACGUCAGAGGUGAAAUUCUUGGAUUGUGUUGCGACGAACUACUGCGAAAGCAUUUGCCAAGGAUGUUUUCA
rnacentral:rRNA from 1 species